GUGCCUACGGGACGCAGCAAUGGGGAAUAUUGCACAAUGGGGGAAACCCUGAUGCAGCAACGCCGCGUGAGUGAAGAAGUAUUUCGGUAUGUAAAGCUCUAUCAGCAGGGAAGAAAAUGACGGUACCUGAGUAAGAAGCCCCGGCUAACUACGUGCCAGCAGCCGCGGUAAUACGUAGGGGGCAAGCGUUAUCCGGAUUUACUGGGUGUAAAGGGAGCGUAGACGGCGAUGCAAGUCUGAAGUGAAAGCCCGGGGCUCAA
rnacentral:rRNA from 1 species